GAUGAACGCUGGCGGCGUGCCUAAUACAUGCAAGUCGAGCGAACAGACGAGGAGCUUGCUCCUCUGACGUUAGCGGCGGACGGGUGAGUAACACGUGGAUAACCUACCUAUAAGACUGGGGUAACUUCGGGAAACCGGAGCUAAUACCGGAUAACAUGUUGAACCGCAUGGUUCAACAGUGAAAGACGGUCUUGCUGUCACUUAUAGAUGGAUCCGCGCCGCAUUAGCUAGUUGGUAAGGUAACGGCUUACCAAGGCAACGAUGCGUAGCCGACCUGAGAGGGUGAUCGGCCACACUGGAACUGAGACACGGUCCAGACUCCUACGGGAGGCAACAGUAGGAAAUCUUCCGCAAUGGGCGAAAGCCUGACGGAGCAACGCCGCGUGAGUGAAGAAGGUCUUCGGAUCGUAAAACUCUGUUAUUAGGGAAGAACAAAUGUGUAAGUAACUAUUCACGUCUUGACGGUACCUAAUCAGAAAGCCACGGCUAACUACGUG
rnacentral:rRNA from 1 species